rnacentral:lncRNA from 1 species
CAUUUUUAAUGAAAGAAAUAUUUUCUCAACACAAUCUGACUGCUAUCGUCUGCUCUCAUGGAACUUUUCAAAAACUCUAUGGAGUACGUAUUCCGAUCCCGCAUUCGAUCUCGUUUACCACCGACAUGCAGACGCAGUGACACAAUUAUGCAGCAAUACAUGUGAUUAUAUUCUUACUACAAAUAUUUUCAAACUAAUUUCCGGGCCAUUUUUAUUAAAUUCAUACUGUUUCUAUGUUAAGAAAUAGGUUAACCUGUUCGUGAAUUGACGACAACGUUUAACAAGUGCAAUUGUCCUUUGAAAUCAGCUCACAUUCCGUUAAAUUUCAUACCGUGCGCAUGCAAGAAACAAAAAGAUAUUUGAGUAUGUUAUGUGUUCAUUUGUUUGAAUGAUUGUGUAUAAAUAUGAAGUUGUUUCUUGCAUGCGCACAUAGUUUAUUUAAUGUAAAUUUGACAAAUUUUCAUAAAUUUUACGGGAAAACGUCUUAAAUAGGCACGAAAACGUUGUUAUUGUGACGUCAUUGACGCAAAAUGUUGGAAAAAUAAUAUCAAAACUUAAAGCUUUCAUCCUAAAGUAUUCAAAAAGUACAAGUUUUUAAUUUUUCAUGUGUUUUAAAAUUUCCGAAAAAAAUAGGCCAAAAAGGGGUCUUAAUGCCCCUACUCCUUU